GACAAGGGGAAUCCGGACUGUUUUAUUUAAAACAAAGCAUUGUGAUGGCCCGAAGACGGUGUUGACACAAUGUGAUUUCUGCCCAGUGCUCUGAAUGUCAUAGUGAAGAGAUUCAACCAAGCGCGGGUAAACGGCGGGAGUAACUAUGACUCUCUUAAGGUAGCCAAAUGCCUCGUCAUCUAACUAGUGACGCGCAUGAAUGGAUUAAUGAGAUUCCC
rnacentral:ncRNA from 1 species